UAUUAAAUGAACUUAAAAUUCGAGUUCGAGCUUAACUCGUUUAGAAAAUGAGCUUUUGUUGAGCCGGGUUUCGAGUAGCUUACGAGCGGCUUGGUUCAUUUAUAUCCCUAAUAACAGCCUUUACCCAUGCAAACCAAGAUAUGCCUUUAAAUAAUGGCCUAACAGGUAAGGGGCCUUAAAAACCUGUAAAUAACGGCCGCUUUUAAAACCUUGUUACUGAUGAUAGCUUUAUUAAUACCAAUAUGAGUUUAUUUUUUGUGCUUUCUUCUAUUUAGUGGAUGUCAGUUCUUCUGAGAAUGCUUUAUUUUCAGUAUAAAUGG
rnacentral:misc_RNA from 1 species